CACUGUUUUCUGCAGGUCACUCACAGCUGAAGCAGAUGGACAGCAUGUUCUGGGAGCAGCAAUAGAGCCCCUGCUCUGAGGUGCAUCUCUCUUGGACCUGAGACCUUCCAGUCACCACAAGGACAGAAUCUCAACUCUGGAAUCACUGGCCCUGGAUCCGUGGCCUAAGUAGACCUGCGUGUGACCAACCCUUCCUGAGUCUUCAUUGGCACACUGCCUGCCCCCACUCCUCGUUUACCUGGAAAAAACAGUCACUCUCUCCCCAGGUGAAGUUCACACGACAUCCCCUGAGGGUUUCUCUUGACCCAGUGUCCUGAUCACUUGACUGGCAUCCUCCUUUGCUUACCUUUGCCAAUGCUCUCUCCAUGGCCUCGCCUGGCCUGGCCUUCAUCAGCGAUCCCAUCUGGUCCUCGUGCCUCAACCCAACCGGCCUGUGUUGGCCUAAAUGUGUCCCUCAGAUUAAAGUCUUGUGCCCUGACCCAGGA